rnacentral:ncRNA from 1 species
GAAUAAGAUAGUAAAAACACGGUCUGGUCGGUAGUCCAGACACUAGUUUUUAGCAGCUUAACAAACUAGUCAGUAACCUGCCUCCUUGGUUGUCCAGCUAUCAGUACCAAAAA